UGAGGAAUAUUGGGCAAUGCCCGCAAGGGUGACCCAGCAACGCCGCGUGGAGGAUGAAUGUCGUAAGAUUGUAAACUCCUGUUAGAGGGGAAGAAUAGUACCGGUUGGACCGGUAUAUGACUGUACCCUCAGAGAAAGCCCCGGCUAACUACGUGCCUGCAGCCGCGGUAAUACGUAGGGGGCAAGCGUUGUCCGGAUUUACUGGGUGUAAAGGGCGCGCAGGCGGGAUAAAAAGUCAGUGGUGAAAUCCCACAGCUUAACUGUAGAACUGCCUUUGAUACUUUUAUUCUUGAGUUCGGGAGAGAGAGACGGAAUUCCAGGUGUAGUGGUGAAAUACGUAGAUAUCUGGAAGAACACCAGUUGCGAAGGCGGUCUCUUGGUCCGACACUGACGCUGAGGCGCGAAAGCGUGGGGAGCAAACA
rnacentral:rRNA from 1 species